ensembl:miRNA
UGUUUUUGUUUUUUGAGGCAGGGUCUUGCCAUGUAGUUCAGGCUGGACUUGGACUCACUGUGUAGCCCAAGCUGGCCUCAAACUCAUGGCAGUCUUCCUGCCUCAGCCUC